UUUAGGUCGACCCGCUGAAUUUAAGCAUAUCAUUAAGCGGAGGAAAAGAAACUAACAAGGAUUCCCUUAGUAGAGGCGAUCGAAGAGGGAAAAGCCCAAAACCGAAUCCUGCGGAGUUAUUCGCUAGGAAAUGUGGUGUUUGGUUCAAUUGCUACGGCACAUUGGAGUUGUUCUAAGUUCACGUGAUUGUGGCUACAGGCCCAAAGAGGGUGUAAGGCCCGUAUGAACAAUACAGUGUGUCCAGGAGUUGUUCCUAGAGUCGGGUUGUUUGGGAAUGCAGCCCAAAUCGGGUGGUAAACUCCAUCCAAGGCUAAAUACAACACGAGUCCGAUAGCGAACAAGUACCMUGAGGGAAAGUUGAAAAGAACUUUGAAGAGAGAGUUCAAUAGUGCGUGAAACCGCUCGGAGGCAAACGGGCAGAGCUGAAGAGAGGUGUGUGUAGUGAGGUUCUGUUCGUGCUGUUCUCUGCAUUUAUGAUCGUUAACUGACAUGGUGCAUUGAGCGUGUUACAGACAUUGCUUUGUUGCGCAUGCCGAACACUAUGGCCGGUAGGUAGAAAGGCCUGGCAUUCAUUGAAGGUGGCUCUGGACUUGUCUGGAGUGUUAUAGCGAUGAAUCAUAGCGCCUUUUGAGUACCGUUAUGCAUUAUAGCCAUUGAGAUUUGACAUGGUCAAUCUUUUGGCGAGUGAAUGUAUUUUAUCAUAAAUUGAUGGCUUGCAUUCUCUAGCCCUAGAUAUGGUCCUCUGUUGGUCUCAUGCUAGCUGUAGUGAAACUGUAGGCAUCUGCCUGACCCGUCUUGAAACACGGACCAAGGAGUUUAGCACAUGCGCGAGUCAUUGGGAAUUACGAAACCUAAAGGCGCAGUGAAGGUAAAGACUUGUUUUAACGCAAGUUAAGGUAGGAUCCUAAGUUCCAAUGUGCGCUUCUGUGUACAUGGACUGGGCGCACUACCAGCUCGUCUCAUGCUUUUUAAGCGAGGCGAAGCAAGAGCGUAUGUGCUGAGACCCGAAAGAUGGUGAACUAUGCUUGUGUAGGCUAAAGCCAGAGGAAACUCUGGUGGAAGGCCGUAGCGAUUCUGACGUGCAAAUCGAUCGUCAAACAUGAGUAUAGGGGCGAAAGACUAAUCGAACCAUCUAGUAGCUGGUUCCCUUCGAAGUUUCCCUCAGGAUAGCUGGCACUCGGGAAACAAGCAGUUUUAUCCGGUAAAGCGAAUGAUUAGCAGUAUUGGGGAUGAAAUGUCCUCAACUGAUUCUCAAACUUUAAAUGGGUGAGAAGCUCUACUCUCUUAAAUAUGGAGUUGAGCAUUGAAUGUGAGUGCCUAGUGGGCCAUUUUUGGUAAGCAGAACUGGCGCUGUGGGAUGAACCAAACGUCUGGUUACGGAGCCAAACAUGACGCUCAUGAGAAACCACAAAAGGUGUUGGUUGAUUUUGACAGCAGGACGGUGGCCAUGGAAGUCGGAAUCCGCUAAGGAGUGUGUAACANCUCACCUGCCGAAUCANCCAGCCCUGNAAAUGGAUGGCGCUGGAGCGUUGGUCCUAUACCAGACCGUUACCGCAAAUAUGCAUUGUAUGUGGUAACGAGUAGAAGGGCGCCGUGGUAAGCAUUGAAGCUUCGGUCGUGAGACUGGGUGGAGCUGCCACGGGUGCAGAUCUUGGUGGUAGUAGCAAAUAUUCAAGUGAGAACCUUGAAGACUGAUGUGGAGAAGGGUUCCAUGUGAACAGCAAA
rnacentral:rRNA from 1 species